GUGGAAACAAAGACACCUACAUCUUGGAUGCCCUUGAGAAGACAGAAAAUCCUGCAAGUAUAGAACAACACAAGGCCGGGGAAACAACUUUGGAAAGUGGGCACCAGAUGGGGCUGAAGAACAAGAGGGAUUUAUGACGUCAACCAAAAAGAAAAAGCAGACCUUUGUGAAUUUGCUGGCCGUGUUUUGACCUCAUGCAGGUCUCCUCUGGCUUGAAGUCAGAUUUACAACAGUCGCUGUUCACAGUGCUUAUUAUUCUGAAAAAAGGCCCUGUCAGUAAAUGUACAGCCCUUAGGAAGGGCAGAAAAUGAGGCAAACGUCCUGCUGGCCUAGAGAAUGGGUGAAGAAACUGCAGACGUUUACAGAUCCCAGCUGAUACAAUAAAAGGAGAAAUCAAUACAGCGGUCAUCUUCAAAAACUACAUUAAACAACAAACAGAAGAAAACCUGACCGCAGACAUGGCAUCCUAAAUCUACGACCUGGAGUUACAAAAAAACUGUUGCUGUAAUCCAUUUUUAAAUGGAAAUCUACACAUUCAGAGUUCUCUGCAGCUGUCUUGAAAAGAAGGUGAAGUUUCAACAGAGGCGGUUGGGCUGUUCUACUUCUGAUUCUGUCAUCUUCUCACCUGCAAGACAUGUGACACACUGUGGUUGCUUGUUUCUGGUGUCAAUCUCAAGUACAUGGCGAAGUUCAGCACCCAUUACAGUGCCAUUUCCUUCCUUGUCAAAGACUCGCAAGCCCUCAACAAAGUCCUCAAAUGUGCCCUGAUCUUUGGACUUGGACACGUGUUGGAACAUA